CCAUGUUGGCAGUGGUUAGCAUUACAUGAUUACGUGACUUGGUGCCAGUGAUGAUUGCUAGAAGAUAUAAUCUAGCUGCACCAGGAAAAAAGACGUGGAACAUCUAUUGCAGUUAUUGCAGGUAUUUAACGAGUGACCUACCUGAUAUUGCCUGAUGUACAUUACCAUUUGAUCUGAAAAUGAGCCUGCUGAAUGAUUAAAGGUUAAAACAACACGGAUUCACUGAUAACCAACUGUGGAACUGGAGGAACACAGCAGGUCAAGCAACAUCAGAGGAACAGAAAAACUGACGUUUCAAGUCUGGA